AGGGGGUGAGCGUUGUUCGGAAUGACUGGGCGUAAAGCGCGCGUAGGCGGAUCAGGAAGUUGGGGGUGAAAUCCCGGGGCUCAACCCCGGAAUGGCCUUCAAAACUCCUGGUCUUGAGUUCGAGAGAGGUGAGUGGAAUUCCGAGUGUAGAGGUGAAAUUCGUAGAUAUUCGGAGGAACACCAGUGGCGAAGGCGGCUCACUGGCUCGACACUGACGCUGAGGUGCGAAAGCGUGGGGAGCAAACAGG
rnacentral:rRNA from 1 species